rnacentral:misc_RNA from 1 species
GACCAUGAAUCAUAUAAUAUAUCUGCGAUCGGUAAUGCAUCAAAAUGUCAGUUCUGCUACAUAUAAUUUACUGCACUUUUUCACGGAAGCAACCAUAAACUUAUGAAUGAAAUAAUAUGAUGAAUCAUGAAAAAUAACUAAGUCAAUAACCAUAGAUAAAGUUACUUCAAACAUUGAUCUCACAACAAAACCAUUUAUUUACAACAGAAUUAAUGCCAAAAAUUGGAAUAAGAUAACACACGUAUAUAUCCCGGUAUACCUUAAAUGAUUCUUGUUUUGUGAUAAAAAAGAAGAGAUAAAAAGCCUAUGGUUACCAUACAACAUAAUUAAUGCUCGUGAUUUCCAGGAUCAACACAAUUAGUGUGCUUGAUAAAGAUCAAUAAUACAGCAAAAAAUUUCAAACAUCGCAACAGGCAUGUGUACUGCAGUAUAAGCUUAAGCCCUUUCCCCAGCUACUAAAAUCCAUAAUCUAAUUCCAUUAAAAAUUGCACCAACCAAAUCCUCAAAUGAAUGAGUUAUCAUUUAAAAAUAUCCAAAGCUAAUUUCCUUAGGCCACAGCAUACCAUUGCAUGAAGUAACAUCAAUUUACAAUAACAAUGUUUAUGCAUGCCAGUAGAGGAGGAAGGUGCUUGAUUUCCCAAGCUAUUACAUCCAUAAUACCUAGUUGCAUUUAGAAUGGCUUGACCAAACCUCAGUUAAAAUAAUCAACUAGUAGAGAAAUUUCCUGAUUUCCUUGGACAACACAUGACCACUUACUUUAACAAAAAUUGAUAAAGGAGUUGCAUACAGAAUGAUUACAAGUACACACAUUGUAAGUGAACAACCAACUAAUUUACCAAAGUUUCUAGUCUUCAAAAGUUUCACAAACUUUCUCGACUUCACUUGAUAUUUAAAUAUUAACAUCUAAGAGUGGCAAAGCAAUUUAUGGCAAGAAAAGGGGAACCAGAAACUGGCAAGUGUGGAGAUACAUUGCAACUGAAAUAGAUGUCAAAAGUUAUGCACUAUUGAAUUCAACGAGUCAUUGAUGCAGUAGUACAUCAUUCAACACAAGGCCCUGACUCCAAGCAAAUCCAGAUUUUCCACAGCCUAAGAUUGGUGUUUUUCUCUGCGUGUAUAGACGGGGAUGGGGAAUAAAUUAUCGAAGAAGAGAAGGAGAAUAAAUAUCUUAGGGCUUGUUCACCUGUGGAAAUCUGAAUAAAUCUUCUAAGAAAGUGAGAAAAAAAAAUAUUGUGUCCACAAGUGCCACCUUUCCACAUGAAGAACAGCAAAACUAGUUUUCUAGUUUUUCAAAAUUUAAAUAAGAUUUGAAAAAAAUUAAAUUGUUUUCCAUUGUUUCCUUUAUAACAAAAAUCAUAUUUUCCAAAUGAAAAACAAUAACUUUUUUAUAAUUAAAAUUAUACUAUAACUUUUACAUAACUAAAAUUGAAUAAUUAUUUAAGAAAAUAUUUAUUUACAAUGAUAAAAAAUAAUCAUUAGGUUAGAGGAUAGAAAGAA